rnacentral:rRNA from 1 species
UCUACCACCAACAGGGAACGCGAGCUGGGGUUAGACCGUCAUGAGACAGGUUGGGUUCACCCUCCUGCCGC